CGUUAAAAAUUUCAUCCAAUAUUUGCACUAUUAAAAGUUGACAUGACUAACGGAAUAAUCACAGGUGUACUACGCGUACCUCACGCUGAUGUACAAUAAUCAUUUUUUAAUAGUAGAAAUGGAUGAAACUUUUAACA
rnacentral:pre_miRNA from 1 species